CGCUCUUUGAUAAAAAAUUUUUAUAUAUAAAGAGUUCUGCCUGCCCAGUGACAAGUUAAACGGCCGCGGUAUUUUGACCGUGCAAAGGUAGCAUAAUCAUUUGCCCCUUAAAUGGGGGCUGGUAUGAAUGGCAAGACGGAGAUUAAGCUGUCUCUUUUUUUUACCUUAAAAUUAAUUUCUUCGUGAAGAAGCGGAGAUACAGUCGUAGGACGAGAAGACCCUAUUGAGCUUUAGUAUAAAGUAAUUGUAGGUGUGUAGUAGUGUUUUUUGCUAAUUACUGUUAAUAAAUAUAGUUAUUUUUACUCUUAAACACGAUAGCAUUAUGCAAUUAAUACUUUGAUUGGGGCAAUCACGGAGUAAAUUUAUCCUCCGUUACAAAUAUUUUAAUUAAGAAGGUACUUCUUUUAUAUGUAAGUUUUACAUGUUAGUGAUCCACUAAAAAGUGAACAAAGGAACAAGUUACCAUAGGGAUAACAGCGUAAUUUUUUUGGAGAGUUCAUAUUGAUAAAAAAGUUUGCGACCUCGAUGUUGGAUCGGGACUUCCAGGAGAUGCAGCAGUUUCCAAGGGUUGGUCUGUUCGACCAUUAAAGUCCUACG
rnacentral:rRNA from 1 species